AGUGUCGAGCCUGACAUUUGGAUCCCAUAUGCAAGUGGGUGAUGGAUCCAAGUGCGGGGGCCCACGGCGCAGUGCCCCAACGGUAGUCGUGCGCGCGGCGCAGUUUCCCCAAGUAGUUGGCCCAUGCUGCCAGUGUCCAAGAUGAGCAUGAGGCUGACUGCAGCGGUUGCCGCCAGCUGCUCCUCUCCCCUUGCAUGGCGCCUGCAGGGGGCGCUACACGCGCGCAGCGCUGCCCCUGCAGAGCCCCCUAGCGCGUGGCCCCCUUCUCUCUUCUCUUCAAUCUAGGGGAUCACUGUUCAUCCCCUACAGCACUGUGCUAUGGGUCCACGAGUAAUUGUUAGUAGAUAAAAAAUUGAUAUUGAUAUAGAAAAUGAUAUUUUAUAGUUGUUGUGGGGUAUAGGGGGAGUAUUUAGGAGGAACCACUGCGGGAG
rnacentral:lncRNA from 7 species